rnacentral:tRNA from 1 species
GUGGUAGCUCAAUGUUAAGAGCGUGUGCUUAGCAGGCAGGAAGCCCUGGGUUUAAUCCCCAGCACACACA